rnacentral:lncRNA from 1 species
ACACAGGUGCGCUCCCUGAUCUGACCACCUGCCCAGCCGCGGAGCCCGGCACAGACCCUGAUUGGUGGCUCCGUGGCCAGGUUUCAUCUGAGCUUGUGGGGCCCGGGAGCCGGCUGGCGGUGAGGCCUCGAGGCUGCGGUCGUGUCCCUGAUCACUCAGGAGUGGACGAGUGGAAAGUGGAAUCCGUCGCUUUGAGCUUGACAGGCAAACAUCCGACCAGCCCUUCCUCCGCCCGGCUGCUCCAGAACCACCUGCGGCGAGCAGGGCUUUGAGAACAUCGGGCCGUGGUUUCCGGACGUCAGGCCCCCCGUGGCCUCCGCCAAGCGUCUGAGACUGAAGCAUUGCUGACGCACUCCACGAGGUCCUGGCCAGACCCCGCUCAGGACAUCCCACUGCACAGGCCCCUGGUUGUUGGGUCAGCGCUGCCGCCAGGCUCAGACUCACCCCAGGGCCCUCCUUGGGCCCCCUUUCUCUGCCUCCUUGGUCAAGGCCCAGACCCAGGCCCCCCCAGGCCCUGCCUCCUCACACUCACGGCGGCCGCUGGGUCUUCUACCGCAUGGUGCCAGCUCCCUCUCCUCCACUGCGGUGUCCUAGCCCAGCUCUCUCCCUGUCAGGCCCUCUGAAGUUCCACCCCCUGGCACUCAGCUCAUGGCGGGAACAGGACCAGGCUCUCCUGUUGCCAAGGGCAGUGAGAUGUUCGUAGCUUUAUUUCCCAGUACAUUGAUUUUACUGAUUUUAGUUUAUCUUCAGUUGAAUAAUUGUGUGUAUUGAUGGGGUUUAUGUUUUAUGGGGUUUGGUGUGAUGUUCUGAUGUACGUAUUUGUUGCAGAAAGAUUCAAUUAAGCUAAUCAACAUAUCCAUCACCUCACCAACUUGUUUUUUUGUGGUGAGAACAUUACAAAUCUAUUUUCUAGCAAUUUGGUAUACAAUACAGUCAUCCCUCGGCAUCCUCAGGGAAAUUGGUUCCAGGACGCCGCUCUGAUAACAAAAUCCGAGGAUGUUCAAGUCCCGGAUGUGAAAUGGCGUAGAGUUUGCACAGAGGUUGCACAUGCACCCCCAGGACUUCAAACCAUCUCCGAUGACUUAGCACCCAGUGCAAGGCAAGGCCAUGAAAACGGCUGUUCUACUGUAUUGUUUUACAUUCUUAUUUUUAAUUUAAAACUUUUCCCACAUCAUAAAUCCUCGGAAGCAGAACUGCACUUACCGAGCACCCUGUGUACUGUGGUUAACGGCAGUGGUGGCCGCCACACAGCGCGGCUGACCUUGAAGCCCACAGCUGCAGCUAACGAACGCUUUGCACCCUUUCACCAACGUCUCUGCUUUCUCUAUCUCUCUUCCUGCCCCGGCCUCCUGCAACCCCCUUUCCACUCUCUGUUUCCAUGAAUUCAGGGUUUUCGGAUCCCACACGUGAGUGAGAUCCUAGCUUUUGGCCAGUGGCAUCCGCCCUCCCUGAGGACCCACCAACCCCUGGGCCUGUCCUGCCUGUGACAGCCCCACUGCUGUUGACAUCACCACCUCAGCCUCUGUCCCGCCUGUGACAGCCCCACUGCUGUUGACAUCGCCACCUCAACACCGCUGUUGACAUCGCCACCUCAGCCCCUGCCCCGCCUGUGACAGCCACACCGCUGUUGACAUCGCCACCUCAGCCCCUGCCCCGCCUGUGACAGCCACACCGCUGUUGACAUCGCCACCUCAGCCCCUGUCCCGCCUGUGACAGCCACACCGCUGUUGACAUCGCCACCUCAGCCCCUGCUCCGCCUGUGACAGCCCCACUGCUGUUGACAUCGCCACCUCAGCCCCUGUCCCGCCUGUGACAGCCCCACUGCUGUUGACAUCGCCACCUCAGCCCCUGUCCUGCCUGUGACAGCCUCACUGCUGUUGACAUCGCCACCUCAGCCCCUGUCCUGCCUGUGACAGCCCCACUGCUGUUGACAUCGGUGCCUCAGUGAGGGCAGGCACUGAGUUCAAGGUGGUCCCAGCCCAGCAGCCCCAUCCUGAGGCCUCUGCCUUCCUCCUUGUUUUCAUUUUUAAUUUUCCGGUUAAAAGCCUGCUGGUGCACACAGCAAUUGACUGAAGUGCAGGCGUCUUCAGCGUGUGGCGGGUGGAUUUUCGCUGCCGGCUCGGGCUCAGGGCAUUCCUCUGUGCCCCCGUCAACACCCCCUGCCCUGCGCAAUGGCUCUUCCAACCUCUGACCCUGGCCUGCUCUGAAACUGCAUCUACGCAGCCUCCUGAACCAGCCUUCUCGCCUCCGCAGCCUCCAGACGCCAGCCCUCCC